rnacentral:rRNA from 1 species
UAUGUCUGUAGUGAAAGCGUGUGGCUCAACCAUAUACACAUUACAGAAACUGCUCAGCUAGAGGGCGAGAGAGGUAACUAGAAUUCCUAGUGUAGGAGUGGAAUCCGUAGAUAUUAGGAGGAAUACCGAUGGCGUAGGCAGGUUACUGGCUCGUCCCUGACACUAAGGCACGAAAGCGUGGUAGCAAACGGGAUUAGAUACCCCGGUAGUCCACGCCGUAAACGAUGAAUGCUA